UGCUAUUAAAUCAUAUUCUUACAUAACUUUGCUUUGGCAGUGUACGUAAUUCAAAUCCUUACUGUUUGUUGGUAGUGAUCCCAUUCUGAUUUUGUUUCUGUGUGUUCGACAUAUUUCAUUUGGGUACCCUAACCAUUUUUUGGUUCUGGUUUUAAAUUCUAAACAUUACACUCGUAUUGUGGUGCCUUGUCACUACUUUUUAUAUAAAAAAGUCAAUAAUUUCGUAUUCAAGAAAGCUUCCAUAACUAAAUAAUAAAAAUACCAUAUCUUGAAAAAUGACAUUUUUAAAAUAACUUUUGAGACAGGAGCACAUAAAGCAAGAUGUGGAAGAAACAAUACAUAGUUGCCAGGUUGAAAUAGAUGUUCAUGAAGCUUUCCUCCAAUGCUAAUCAAAAACGGAAUUUGUGCUGAGUGUUCUUUCACCCAGGGUUGAACAUUCUACAGGAAGUUCAUGAAGCGGGAGCACCCAAGUGCAAUUUGUGGAGCAUGACCGCUGCUAAGGUGGUGUAGGCCACACAACCCAGUGUGCAUAAUACUUUUGUAUGAAAUUAUCUUCAGAUAAUUGCUUCACCAAGUUUUAGUCCUCCCAACAUUGCUCAUGAAAUGUCUACGAAACCUGUAUUAGAAGGGCUAGCAUUCUACCAAGGAGGAGUAAGCAGUUGGCUCUAUUUUUACACCCACCGCAAUCACCACAUGAACACCAGUUAAAAUGAUUAUCCUGCAAUCCUACCACUAUGUCAAUUAAUAGAGCAAGAGAAAGAAGUUUUGAGGAGAACCUCGAGCAUAGUCCUGCACUUUCACAACUAGAGUAUGUGUAAAAGUACUGCCGCCAGAUAUGCGCACCAGCUCAUCCAGUGGCAAUGGCCAUAACGGCAAGCAAAUCUCAGUAUGGCUUGCCAACCAACAGAUGACCAUCACCUACAAAGCACUGAAGGAUUAACUGAGAUUGUUCUUCAGCAUGCUGCCUGCCCUUAGAUCUAGGAAGUUCUUAGACAAUGUAGAGGCAGCAAUAGGAGACGUGGCCGUUGCACAUCUACAGACCUUGUGAGAGAGGUCCUACUCCCAACAUUACCCAGCCAAAUAGCCGUAGCCAUCCUCAACGCAUCAACAAUGCCACUCAACAAAUUCCUGAAAAAGGUCAAUGCUGUCCACCAGUCCCAAAAGUUGACAGAGCCCACAUAGCCACAGCAGCAGAACAGCGAGACAAGAGGGUCUUGCUGUCCCCAUACACUGCUUUUAAAGCUUCACAAGGGAGAACAAGGAAAGUUCAAGCCCAAAAGAGAAGACUGUCCUAAGGUGACAAGCUCCUACCACUGGAGGUUCUGAAGUGGAGCUCAAAAAUGGGAAAGCUGCUGCUGCAUGUCCAAAAACUGCUGCAGUCCAACAAAACAAUUAAUAGCCAGUGCUUGGCAG